UUUCAUUUCUGAAUGUUCAGAAGCAGAACAUUGGAAAUCAAAAGAAUGAACGGGUUCAAGAGAAAAUCCCUAGCUUUUAGCACCUAAAUACUUGAAAAGUCUGGGAUCCCGCUCUGAAAGGAGGUGUUUGCUGACACGCUUUGCUUUCAGGGCAGCUCUGGAGCAAUGUGAUACAAGAAGUGACUCAGCUAAGCAAACUGAGUUUGUGUUGAACACAUGGCUAGCAGCUCUUCCAACUAUCAGGAUCCAUGUAAUUGCAGCAAAACAGUUAGCAUCAUAAAAAGAGCAACCAUGAACUGAUACAACAUACUUCCUUCUCACGGUGAAUUAGGAUGACGACCUGGAAUUCACUGCCGUUCUUCACCUAACCUAAGGCUUCAGUAUGGUAGACCUGGACCAUUGCUGUUGGGUCUUCCUGGUGAAACACUCAAGCUGCCUGAUGGAUUCAGCAGAUGGCUGCUCACCACCAUGCGUUUGAUUCCUUCCAGCAGUGUUCCUGUAAGACGCAUCACUGUGUUGUGCAGUGUAAAGGGGUUUUUUUGCUUGCAUUUAAAGACAAAAACAUCCCUACAUUGUGUAAUUUUUCCUUCGCCUGCUCUGUGCAGAUCUAUCCUAGACAGAAGGGCAGCUCCUCGGGCCCCACCAGGGUCCCAGGCAGCCACUGGGGAUCCCUGUUCUGGUCCGUUUGCGGCGCCGGAUUAUCACGUCUCCGCGCAGCGGGUGUAGUGAGCUAAAGCGCUUCAAGCAAUCAGACGUGGGAUUUCUGAUACUAUUAAGCAAACAACACUUCUUCGCCCCUCCCUUUGUAAACCCCCCAUUUACUGUACACGUUGCCUUUUAUUGUGUGCUCAUCCUUACUAAGAGCUUAAAAAUUAAUUAAAUCGCUUUUGUGGUUGCUUCAUUGUUGUGAUUAAAAUGGGUUUUACUGGAGUUAAUGACAGAAUGUGGCUCAGAUUACUUUAAAAGUAUUGCUAGGACAGUUGAAUACCUGUAGAAACACCAGUCUCUU